rnacentral:tRNA from 1 species
UAAAAUGGCUGAGUGUCAAGUGGUGGAUUGUAGCUCCAUGAACAGAGGUUAAACUCCUCUUUUUAC